rnacentral:rRNA from 1 species
AGUGAACGCUGGCGGUAGGCCUAACACAUGCAAGUCGAACGGCAGCACAGUAAGAGCUUGCUCUUACGGGUGGCGAGUGGCGGACGGGUGAGGAAUACAUCGGAAUCUACUUUUUCGUGGGGGAUAACGUAGGGAAACUUACGCUAAUACCGCAUACGACCUACGGGUGAAAGCAGGGGAUCGUCGGACCUUGCGCGAAUGAAUGAGCCGAUGUCGGAUUAGCUAGUGGGCGGGGUAAAGGCCAACCAAGGCGACGAUACGUAGCCGGUCUGAGAGGAUGGUCGGCCACCCUGGAGCUGAGCCACGGUCCUGACUCCUACGGGAGGCCGCAGUGGGGAAUAUUGGACAAUGGGCGCAAGCCUGAUCCAGCCAUACCGCGUGGGUGACGAAGGCCUUCGGGUUGUAAAGCCCUUUUGUUGGGAAAGAAAAGCAGCCGGUUAAUACCCCGCUGUUCUGACGGUACCCAAAGAAUAAGCACCGGCUAACUUCGUG